UUGGCCCCGGGCUGGGCCAAGCAGGUUCCUAAAGAAAUGUCUUUCUGUGGUCUGUUGGCCAUUUCAGAACUUUGGAAAUGUUAUAGUCAAUUCACUAGAAAGUGAUUGGA
ensembl:snoRNA